CACGUAGGGUGCGAGCGUUGUCCGGAAUUACUGGGCGUAAAGCGUGCGUAGGCGGUUUGUUAAGUCCGCUGUGAAAGCCCUGGGCUCAACCUGGGAAUUGCAGUGGAUACUGGCAAGCUAGAGUGCGGUAGAGGAUGGUGGAAUUCCAGGUGUAGCGGAUGAAAUGCGUAGUAUAUCUGGAGGAACACCGGUGGCGAAGGCGGCGUUCUGGACUGCAACUGACACUGAUGAACGAAAGCCAGGGGAGCAAACGGG
rnacentral:rRNA from 1 species